AUUGAACGCUGGCGGCAUGCCUUACACAUGCAAGUCGAACGGCAGCACGGGAGCAAUCCCGGUGGCGAGUGGCGAACGGGUGAGUAAUGUAUCGGAACGUGCCCCGUCGUGGGGGAUAACGUAGCGAAAGUUACGCUAAUACCACAUCCGAUCUUUGGAUGAAAGCGGGGGAUCGCAAGACCUCGCGCGAUUGGAGCGGCCGAUAGCAGAUUAGGUAGUUGGUGGGGUAAAGGCUCACCAAGCCGACGAUCUGUAGCUGGUUUGAGAGGACGACCGGCCACACUGGGACUGAGACACGGCCCAGACUCCUACGGGAGGCAGCAGUGGGGAAUUUUGGACAAUGGGCGCAAGCCUGAUCCAGCAAUGCCGCGUGCAGGACGAAGGCCUUCGGGUUGUAAACUGCUUUUGUACGGAGCGAAACGAUCUCCUCUAAUACAGGGGGUUAAUGACGGUACCGUAAGAAUAAGCACCGGCUAACUACGUGCCAGCAGCCGCAGUAACAC
rnacentral:rRNA from 1 species